CUGAUGCAGCCAUGCCGCGUGGUGUGAAGAAGGGCCUUCGGGGUUGUAAAGUACUUUCAGUUGUGAGGAAGGGGGUAACGUUAAUAGCGUUAUCUCUUGACGUUAGCAACAGAAGAAGCACCGGCUAACUCCGUGCCAGCAGCCGCGGUAAU
rnacentral:rRNA from 1 species